UAUUCAAUGUAUCUUAUCUUCUAUUUUCGUCAUAUGUAUAUAAAAGAUCAAGUUUGGAAAGUGGUGCCCUCUGUUUCAAACAGUUUGGAAUAUUGUCAGCGAGCAGGCGCUGGACCGCUUUCUGAGGCUGCGUGUGGGAUAAAGAGCGAAAGACAGAGAAAGAUCGCGAUUCAAACUCGAAAUCUAACGAGGAACUCUCAGAGCCACGCGAGUGGCCGCGCGAUACGGCACGGGUGUUUGAAAACGGCCGAUAACAGUGUGCAUCGCGCCAUGUGUACGAAGAAAAGUGCGAAUUUGCUGUGGCUUCUUUAUUCCAUAUUGUUCAUUUGUGGAUUUGUUCUGCCAUACGGACGCUGCCAAAACGCGGAUCCGCGAGAACAAUUCGAUAACAGGGAUGACGCGAGGAAAAUAGACGAUCUGCGCGAUGAACUGCAGGCUGACGAUGCGGAUCAGUCGUAUGUCUGGGAUGCGUCUCUCGAGGGUAAAAAGACGCUCGAUGAGAACGGGAGCUCCCUCUCGUCUCGAAACGCGGCAGAGGUGUCGGAGACGGAAGUGGAAACAGCGCCUCGGGCAGACGGAAAUAGGGACAAGGUCCUCGUUCCACCAGGAGGUGUUUCCAACUCAUCGUUUCGGCCGGGUCUGAAUGUCACAGCCUCGACAUCGAUCACUCGUCGAAAGGGCGACGGCGGUGACAGAUCCCGGAAGAAACGUCGCAGGAACAAAGAUUCGAAGAGCGGAAACACAGAGGUGGAUCGUGAACGAGACGGCACCCAGGAGAACGAGAUCAGGGGAAAGCGAAACGGGCAGACGAAGAAGCCUAAAGAUUCCGCGGCGAGGAGGUAUCGCGCGGAGCGUCGCAGGAGGAGGAAGAAUCGCGAGCGGAAACGCGGGAGGAAGAGGGCGAGGAACGGCGAGAAGAACGGCGAGAAGAACGGCGAGGCGCGUCGAGCGUCCAAGUUCAAGAGGAGGAUGAACGACGCGCCCGCGGCGCUGCUUCUCGGCAAGAUCGAUGGCCACGUGGUGGACGACACGAACGUGACUUCGAGAGGUAACCAAACGCGCUCGAGCGGCACCGAUGUUACGUCACCGUCCAAUCUUCAGGAUCAAUUAACCACCGAGGCUACGAAGAGAUCCGCGCAGACCACGUCGCGUUACAACAUGUACGAGGACACCGUGGAGAGAGAAUUUUCGAAACAGCUCGAGAAAGAGAUCUCGCGGACCCAGAUGGAGGAUCCUGCCAGCUUGGAGAACCGUAUCCUGGGCAGCUCUGUGCCCAAGUCAUCGCGGAAAAAUUGGGGUCGAAAACAGGUGGAGGAGGAGGAGGAGGAGGAGGAGGAGGAGGAGAAGGUGGCGAAGAAGGGUGGUAACACGAACGAGGCGAAGUUCGGCAACUCUAGGUACGACGCUGAGAAGAUGUUGGGCUACUCGAGGACCGAGGAGGAUCUGCCCAUUCUGGAUUUGGAGAACGAGGUCCUGGCGAGGACGUUGAAGGAUUACAACGCGUACAUGACGUCGAGUUUGAGAUUGUCGAUGGUGGCGAGGCGGGACGAGGUCGAGCGGAGGAGGACAGGCGGAUCGCAUUUUCAUGGAAAGCCCAUAAUCGACGAGGCAGAGUUGGACAGGUUGGGUGGAAAGAAGAGUAUGGAAUGGGCGAGCAGCACGGUGGCGUACGAGGACGAUACGAAGGGGGAUUUAUCUUGCAUAAACGGGACGUUCGUGCCGGCACCCCUUGCCCGGCAUGCGCUGAUCAAAUAUGUAAAAUCAUCGAUACCAGGCCACGAAUAUUUGGAAGCCGAUUACGAAUGUGCCCCAGGAUUCUAUAUGGUGAGCACAACAAACAGAUUGUUAUGCAGAAAUCGUCAAUGGAUGGGACAACUACCAAAGUGCAAGAUCAAAGCGAAUUUUGAAGGUGCGUGCAUCGACGCUUCCUGCGAUCACGUUUGCAAAGAAGUCGAUGGCAGACCGGUGUGUUCCUGUUACAAAGGUUUCCGGUUGGAGAAUGAUAAAUGUAUGGAUGUGAACGAAUGCAAGGAUAACAAGGGAGGUUGCGAACAUAAAUGUGUGAACAUCCCGGGAUCCUUUCGUUGUGAGUGCCCAAAGGGGAUGAAACUAGACGAGGACAGGUUCACAUGCAAGGAUAUCAAUGAGUGUCUGUUGAACAACGGGCACGGGCCUUGUCAGGAUACGUGUCGGAACACCAUAGGCGGCUAUGAAUGUUCCUGCGACAGUCUACAGGACACCGUACUGUCAGCCGACAACCACACGUGUCAGACAGCGGGUCCCUGUAGCGUCAACAACGCGGGAUGCUCCCACACCUGUCUCUCCACCAUGGGACGAGUAUUUUGUCUCUGUCCCGAUGGUUUCAUCCUGGAGGACGACUGGAAAACCUGUCAAGACGUGGACGAGUGCGCCCAGCCAGAUUUGCAAACGGAGAUGUGUCGGUACGGUUGUAUCAACACACCAGGAUCUUAUCGAUGCGCCGAGCCAAUGGAGUUGAAGGAUCAACCGAUACUGGACAGCUUGUCCAUCACGUGCCUGCCGGGCUACGAAGCCACCCCCGAUGGAACUUGUAUCGAUAUCAAUGAGUGUACGGUUGACAACGGUGGGUGCACAGAAGUCUGCGAAAAUACGGAUGGGAGUUUCUUCUGCGCCUGUGACGGUGACGAGAAAGCUCUAUCGUCGGAUGGCAAGUCUUGCGUGGAUAUAAAUAAUGUAUCCUGCCCACCAUUGAAUCCGGAGGGUCGAGGAUAUUUAAUGUGUUCACGUUUAGCUACUCCAAAGCCAUGGAGAGGUAGACGAAGAGUGGCCAAUCGACCAGGUACCAAAUGUUUCUUGAAGUGUCCCCAUGGGUAUCAACUUCACGGAGAAUACGAAUUGACUUGUAGAUCGGAUGGUUCGUGGGACGGCCCAAAACACGGCGAGUGUGUCAGAUACAGCAAGCCUCGUUUAGAGUGCCCGAAAGAUGUGGUCGCGGAACUGCCACCAGGAAGAGACGAGGCCUUCGUGACGUUCGAUCAACCCUCGACAGAUCUCGAUUGGUUCCGGUACGUUCGAUCGAAACCCUCCUGGGGGACCAGGCUGGAGGCUAAUCUAACCCCGGGUGUGCAUGAGAUCACGUUCUUCGCGAGACACCCGGUAUCGAAGAAGCAAGCUAGCUGCGUGUUGCGCAUCAUUGUCAAAGGAGGGGAGGCGCCAAAAGUUAAAGACUGUCCGAACGACAUAGAGGUCACGGGGAGAAAUGGGACAGCGAUUACGUGGACCGAGCCAAUUUUCACGGACAACGUGAAGGUGACCCGGAUUAGGAGCAACGAGAGUCCUGGACGACGUUUCGACGUCGGUGGCCACAGAGUGGAGUACGAGGCGAGCGAUGAAGCAGGUUGGUCGAGCAAGUGCGUGUUCACCGUGGUCCUUCGUCAGGAGUGAGGAGGAAAUUCGUCGACGAUCAGGUGAGCGCGAGAACAAGGAAGAAGGAAGAGGAACAACGGAGAGAAAGAAGGAAUCCAGAUCAAUCCACGAGGGUCUCGAUUUUCUCAUUACCACGAUCAUGAUCAACAUGCCACCUAGGAGACCUAGAAAUGUCGAGAAAAUACAUUCUCCGGCGCUACUUGUCACUUGGAGCGAAAUUACGAGCCAGUUGUUGCGUGACCAGCGUGCACGAUAUGCCAAGGACAAAAGGGAAAAAGGAAGAGGAAUGAAGGGCAAUGGUCCAUAGAUCUAUAGACGGUAAAAAAGUGGAAAUCUAUCGGGAAUUCUGUGCAAAUCUGAAAUCCAGCGCGCGUUGGUGGAACAAGUUUCGAUGAUUACCAGAUCUGGCUGAAAUCUGGCAUUGUAACGGAUGCGGAGAUUUAACGUUCGUUUCUUUUCACGGUACAACGAUCGCGAAUUUGUCGAACGAAACGAGAUUCGAUUCGGGUGGAACGAAUUCGAAUUGAUCCUCUCUUCCUCCUUCCUCGUCGCACUGUCGUGUUAAUCGUCGAUCGUCGAUUAAAAUUUUACCGGGGUGAACAAUGUCCGUGCCGGUUAAACGAAACUGGUCGCGAUUAAUUUCAAAAUUGGACGCUUCGUCGAAUGCAUUUUCACGCGGCUUGCAGCUGACAGGCCGGAACAACGAUAGUUUUAAUCCUGUCCGGCAGAGGGUGUUAAAGGACGGCCCCUCGGCAAUCGGCCACGAAAUGAAACGGAUUUAUGGAAAUUACAAAGUUUACGCUGUGUCAAAGCCCGUCGAGUCGAGUUAUGAGUUCCAUUGACCGAGAACCGCAAUUAAUGAAAAUCUUUUAAUUAGUCGUCGGUUAUGUUUUAUAUUUCGUACAGAAAUAUUUUUGAUCGUUGCGUUUUACAACUUAUUUUUGCGGACACAUCGUUUUGAAUUUUCAACAGAUUAUAUUUGCGUUUCAACUGCAGCUAUAUGGUUUAUUUUUAUCAUGAGAAUGUAAUUUUCAUUUGAAUACCUCGUUCAUUUAAUAAUAAGUCACGGAUUUAUUUGUAUCUUUUUUUGUUGUCAAGUUACAAAUGCAAUUUUUAAUUUUUUUGCACAAUUGAUUAAAUAUUUAUUAGUGAAUUUUGACAAACCACAAGUUGCCAGUGUUUUCUUGUAUGAUAGUAAUAAAAUGGAUAAUGUAAAAUAGAUAAAGUUCUUGCAAAUUGUAAAAUAGUUAAUAGUCUUGAUUCUAAAAUUAUGAAAUUAUAACAAUUGUUUGUGCAAAAGAUAGAAAACAAAGAUAAAAGAUUAUAAUCUACAACUUAUCGCUUGUCUAUUCACUAAUAAUAAUUAUUGAUAAAUUAUAGCGUGAGAUAUUUUCCAAAUAUAUCUACGUGUAAUUUACAUAUGUGUUUCAAUUAUACUUUAUACACAAAUUUUAAUUUUUUUAAUUAGGUUUAAAUGUUUGUUUUCAUUUUUGAAAGAGCGAAUCUUGAGUUUUUUAGGAGAUAAUUUUAUUUGUUACCUCGCAAACACAUUUUUACAGUAUUUUCAAAUUUAGCAUUUUUUAUUUAUUUUUUAUUUCCAAACGAAGUUUAACGUCAAAAUUAUAAAUGCAUAAGAUAAAUAUAAUCGCGAUUUUUCGUUAGCUUCUUUGAAUACGAACCGUCAUGAUUUUUGUCAAAAAAUUCUCGUGGGGACUCGUAUUUGCAUUUCUAUUUCUUUGUAUGAUUUUUUUUACUGGAACAUCGUAGUAGUAUUUUAUCAUAUGUUAUCACAUAAAUUACAUGUUAUAUAUUUUUUUAUAGAUUAAUACCAUAUUUUAAAUAGGUAUUAAUUGUUAAAAAAAAAUUUAAUCCUGUAGUAAAUAAUAAUGGUCAAUAAACACAU